CCUACGGGUGGCAGCAGUGGGGAAUAUUGCACAAUGGGGGAAACCCUGAUGCAGCGACGCCGCGUGAGUGACGAAGUAUUUCGGUAUGUAAAGCUCUAUCAGCAGGGGAGAAAUAGCGACCUUUGGGUCGCCAGACGGUACCUGACUAAGAAGCCCCGGCUAACUACGUGCCAGCAGCCGCGGUAAUACGUAGGGGGCAAGCGUUAUCCGGAGUUACUGGGUGUAAAGGGAGCGUAGACGGGAGCACAAGGUUGAAGUGAAAUGCCGGGGCCUAACCCCGGAACUGCCUUGGAAACUGGGCAGCUUGAGUGCAGGAGAGGUAAGUGGAAUGCCUGGUGUAGCGGUGAAAUGCGUAGAUAUUAGGAGGAACACCAGUGGCGAAGGCGGCUUACUGGACUGUAACUGACGUUGAGGCUCGAAAGCGUGGGGAGCAAACAGGAUUAGAUAUCCGUGUAGUC
rnacentral:rRNA from 1 species